rnacentral:rRNA from 1 species
CUACCAUGCAGUCGACGGUGAAGCCAAGCUUGCUUGGUGGAUCAGUGGCGAACGGGUGAGUAACACGUGAGCAACCUGCCCUGGACUCUGGGAUAAGCGCUGGAAACGGCGUCUAAUACUGGAUAUGAGCCCCUAUCGCAUGGUGGGGGUUGGAAAGAUUUUUUGGUCUGGGAUGGGCUCGCGGCCUAUCAGCUUGUUGGUGAGGUAAUGGCUCACCAAGGCGUCGACGGGUAGCCGGCCUGAGAGGGUGACCGGCCACACUGGGACUGAGACACGGCCCAGACUCCUACGGGAGGCAGCAGUGGGGAAUAUUGCACAAUGGGCGAAAGCCUGAUGCAGCAACGCCGCGUGAGGGAUGACGGCCUUCGGGUUGUAAACCUCUUUUAGCAGGGAAGAAGCGAAAGUGACGGUACCUGCAGAAAAAGCGCCGGCUAACUACGUGCCAGCAGCCGCGGUAAUACGUAGGGCGCAAGCGUUAUCCGGAAUUAUUGGGCGUAAAGAGCUCGUAGGCGGUUUGUCGCGUCUGCUGUGAAAUCCCGAGGCUCAACCUCGGGCCUGCAGUGGGUACGGGCAGACUAGAGUGCGGUAGGGGAGAUUGGAAUUCCUGGUGUAGCGGUGGAAUGCGCAGAUAUCAGGAGGAACACCGAUGGCGAAGGCAGAUCUCUGGGCCGUAACUGACGCUGAGGAGCGAAAGGGUGGGGGAGCAAACAGGCUUAGAUACCCUGGUAGUCCACCCCGUAAACGUUGGGAACUAGUUGUGGGGACCAUUCCACGGUUUCCGUGACGCAGCUAACGCAUUAAGUUCCCCGCCUGGGGAGUACGGCCGCAAGGCUAAAACUCAAAGGAAUUGACGGGGACCCGCACAAGCGGCGGAGCAUGCGGAUUAAUUUCGAUGCAACGCGAAGAACCCUUACCAAGGCUUGACAUAUACGAGAACGGGCCAGAAAUGGUCAACUCUUUGGACACUCGUAAACAGGUGGUGCAUGGUUGUCGUCAGCUCGUGUCGUGAGAUGUUGGGUUAAGUCCCGCAACGAGCGCAACCCUCGUUCUAUGUUGCCAGCACGUAAUGGUGGGAACUCAUGGGAUACUGCCGGGGUCAACUCGGAGGAAGGUGGGGAUGACGUCAAAUCAUCAUGCCCCUUAUGUCUUGGGCUUCACGCAUGCUACAAUGGCCGGUACAAAGGGCUGCAAUACCGUGAGGUGGAGCGAAUCCCAAAAAGCCGGUCCCAGUUCGGAUUGAGGUCUGCAACUCGACCUCAUGAAGUCGGAGUCGCUAGUAAUCGCAGAUCAGCAACGCUGCGGUGAAUACGUUCCCGGGUCUUGUACACACCGCCCGUCAAGUCAUGAAAGUCGGUAACACCUGAAGCCGGUGGCCCAACCCUUGUGGAGGAGCCGUCGAA